GGAUGGCGCUGCCUUACCAUGCAGUCGACGGCAGCACGGGGGUAACCCUGGUGGCGAGUGGCGAACGGGUGAGUAAUACAUCGGAACGUGUCCUGUAGUGGGGGAUAGCCCGGCGAAAGCCGGAUUAAUACCGCAUACGCUCUACGGAGGAAAGGGGGGGAUCUUAGGACCUCUCGCUACAGGGGCGGCCGAUGGCAGAUUAGCUAGUUGGUGGGGUAAAGGCCUACCAAGGCGACGAUCUGUAGCUGGUCUGAGAGGACGACCAGCCACACUGGGACUGAGACACGGCCCAGACUCCUACGGGAGGCAGCAGUGGGGAAUUUUGGACAAUGGGGGCAACCCUGAUCCAGCAAUGCCGCGUGUGUGAAGAAGGCCUUCGGGUUGUAAAGCACUUUUGUCCGGAAAGAAAACUUCUGCCCUAAUACGGUGGGAGGAUGACGGUACCGGAAGAAUAAGCACCGGCUAACUACGUGCCAGCAGCCGCGGUAAUACGUAGGGUGCAAGCGUUAAUCGGAAUUACUGGGCGUAAAGCGUGCGCAGGCGGUCCGCUAAGACAGAUGUGAAAUCCCCGGGCUUAACCUGGGAACUGCAUUUGUGACUGGCGGGCUAGAGUAUGGCAGAGGGGGGUAGAAUUCCACGUGUAGCAGUGAAAUGCGUAGAGAUGUGGAGGAAUACCGAUGGCGAAGGCAGCCCCCUGGGCCAAUACUGACGCUCAUGCACGAAAGCGUGGGGAGCAAACAGGAUUAGAUACCCUGGUAGUCCACGCCCUAAACGAUGUCAACUAGUUGUUGGGGAUUCAUUUCCUUAGUAACGAAGCUAACGCGUGAAGUUGACCGCCUGGGGAGUACGGUCGCAAGAUUAAAACUCAAGAAAAAUAGAGACAGGGAA
rnacentral:rRNA from 1 species